rnacentral:lncRNA from 1 species
UGGCGAGGGAGGCGACUCGCUGGUAGGGUUCAGGGACAGGUCGAGACCCCGUCGGUGCGGCGGGGGCCUCCUGCCUGCCGCAUCCCUCGGCCGCCGUUGCCUCGGUCACCGGCGCGGCUGCCCCCGCCACCCUCGCGCGCACCGCGUCCCCGCGGCCGGCGGAUGCGUUGCCGCCGCGCCACGCCGAGGAGGAGGAGGAAGGGGCACUGCGGCGCACCGAGGAGGUGGAGGGGUGGAGCAGCGGAGGAAGGGCGCGACGAGCGGAGGUGCAGAGGAUGGGUAGGACGGUGGGUAGGAGGUGGCGGCUGUAAUCUGGAAGGGAGGAGGAGGGG